rnacentral:rRNA from 3 species
GGAAAGGCGCGCGAUACAGGGUGACAGCCCCGUACACAAAAAUGCACAUGCUGUGAGCUCGAUGAGUAGGGCGGGACACGUGGUAUCCUGUCUGAAUAUGGGGGGACCAUCCUCCAAGGCUAAAUACUCCUGACUGACCGAUAGUGAACCAGUACCGUGAGGGAAAGGCGAAAAGAACCCCGGCGAGGGGAGUGAAAAAGAACCUGAAACCGUGUACGUACAAGCAGUGGGAGCACGCUUAGGCGUGUGACUGCGUACCUUUUGUAUAAUGGGUCAGCGACUUAUAUUCUGUAGCAAGGUUAACCGAAUAGGGGAGCCGAAGGGAAACCGAGUCUUAACUGGGCGUUAAGUUGCAGGGUAUAGACCCGAAACCCGGUGAUCUAGCCAUGGGCAGGUUGAAGGUUGGGUAACACUAACUGGAGGACCGAACCGACUAAUGUUGAAAAAUUAGCGGAUGACUUGUGGCUGGGGGUGAAAGGCCAAUCAAACCGGGAGAUAGCUGGUUCUCCCCGAAAGCUAUUUAGGUAGCGCCUCGUGAAUUCAUCUCCGGGGGUAGAGCACUGUUUCGGCAAGGGGGUCAUCCCGACUUACCAACCCGAUGCAAACUGCGAAUACCGGAGAAUGUUAUCACGGGAGACACACGGCGGGUGCUAACGUCCGUCGUGAAGAGGGAAACAACCCAGACCGCCAGCUAAGGUCCCAAAGUCAUGGUUAAGUGGGAAACGAUGUGGGAAGGCCCAGACAGCCAGGAUGUUGGCUUAGAAGCAGCCAUCAUUUAAAGAAAGCGUAAUAGCUCACUGGUCGAGUCGGCCUGCGCGGAAGAUGUAACGGGGCUAAACCAUGCAC